AGGAACUUAGCAUUAGCUUAAACCACUGGCCUUCAACGCCAGCAAAAAGGGGGAACACCCUUAGCUCCUG
rnacentral:tRNA from 1 species